GAUGAACGCUGGCGGCAUGCCUUACACAUGCAAGUCGAACGGUAACAGGUCUUCGGAUGCUGACGAGUGGCGAACGGGUGAGUAAUACAUCGGAACGUGCCUAGUAGUGGGGGAUAACUACUCGAAAGAGUGGCUAAUACCGCAUGAGAUCUACGGAUGAAAGCAGGGGAUCGCAAGACCUUGUGCUACUAGAGCGGCCGAUGGCAGAUUAGGUAGUUGGUGGGAUAAAAGCUUACCAAGCCGACGAUCUGUAGCUGGUCUGAGAGGACGAUCAGCCACACUGGGACUGAGACACGGCCCAGACUCCUACGGGAGGCAGCAGUGGGGAAUUUUGGACAAUGGGCGCAAGCCUGAUUCAGCAAUGCCGCGUGCAGGAUGAAGGCCUUCGGGUUGUAAACUGCUUUUGUACGGAACGAAAAGCCCUGGGUUAAUACCCUGGGGUCAUGACGGUACCGUAAGAAUAAGCACCGGCUAACUACGUGCCAGCCGCCGCAGUAACAC
rnacentral:rRNA from 1 species